rnacentral:misc_RNA from 1 species
UCCGGUUUGUCACCGGCAGUAUCGUUAAAGUGCCCGACUUUACUCGCUGGCAACUAACGACGAGGGUCGCGUUCGUUGCGGGACUUAACCCAACAUCUCACGACACGAACUGACGACAGCCAUGCAGCACCUGUGUGGAACCCAACUAAAUGACUCUCUCCUUUCAGAAAGACGCUGUUCCCAUGCAAAGGUUGGUAAGGUUCUUCGCGUAGCCUCGAAUUAAACCACAUACUCCACCGCUUGUGCGGAUCCCCGUCAAUUCCUUUGAGUUUUAAUCUUGCGACCGUACUCCCCAGGCGGAGGGCUUAACGCGUUAGCUAAGAUACUGAAUGUCUAAAACAUCCAACAUCGAGCCCUCAUCGUUUAGGGCGUGGACUAC